rnacentral:tRNA from 1 species
GGAGUAGCGCAGAUGGUAGCGCAACUGAUUCGUAAUCAGUAGGUCGAGGGUUCAAGUCCCUUCUUCA